AACGAACGCUGGCGGCGUGCCUAACACAUGCAAGUCGAACGGGAUUGAGGGGCUUGCUCCUCAAUUUAGUGGCGCACGGGUGAGUAACGCGUAGAUAAUCUGCCUGACGAUCUGGGAUAACACUUCGAAAGGGGUGCAAAUACCGGAUAAGCCCACGGGGGCUAUGGUCUUUGCGGGUAAAGGGGGGGACCUUUAGGUCUGCUGUCGUCAGAUGAUGAUGGGUACCAUUAGCUAGUUGGUAGGGUAAAGGCCUACCAAGGCUACGAUGGUUAGCUGGUCUGAGAGGAUGAUCAGCCACACUGGAACUGAGACACGGUCCAGACUCCUACGGGAGGCAGCAGUGGGAAAUUUUGCGCAAUGGGCGAAAGCCUGACGCAGCAACGCCGCGUGAGUGAUGAAGGCUUUCGGGUCGUAAAGCUCUGUCGAGGGGAAAGAAGUGUAUUAUGGUUAAUACCCAUGAUACUUGACGGUACCCCUAAAGGAAGCACCGGCUAACUCCGUGCCAGCCGCCGCAGUAAUAC
rnacentral:rRNA from 1 species